GACAGAGGUGCCAAGCGUUAGGCGGAAUCACUGGGCUUAAAGCGUGUGUAGGCGGAAUGGUAAGUACCUUGUGAAAUCCCAUAGCUCAACUAUGGAACUGCUUGGUAUACUGCUUUUCUUGAGCCACUUAGGGGCUACCGGAACAAAUGGUGGAGCGGUGAAAUGCGUAGAUAUCUAGAGGAACGCCAAAGGUGAAGACAGGCGGCUGGGCCAAUUCUGACGCUGAGGCACGGAAAGCGUGGGUAGCGAACGGG
rnacentral:rRNA from 1 species